UGUUACUGUGCUUUUUCCCCAAGUCUGCAUUCAGUGACAUCAUGUUGGUGGAUUGAAAUCAGCCACAGUGGGAAUAUUUACACCACAGAAAUGGGCAGCAACCACCACAAAUCAGGGCUUUAUUCAUUAUUUGGUUGACUAUCUAGACUUAAGAAGGUUAUGGAGAAAAUGCUAAUAAUGCACAUGGCAGGGAACCCACGGAGAGUGAGAAUUUGGAGAUUCAGGAAAAGAGGGUACAUGACACGAGGCAGGAGGGUGCAAGGCUGGAGAGAUCAGAGGAUGUAGAAUGAGAAAACCACCUCAUCGAAAAGGGUCUUUGGGUUGUCUUCUACCAGGAAGAGUUUUUAAAUAGGAGUAGCCAGCUACUAGAGAUACCUACAUACAAAGUUUCUAGAACAUCUAUAAAAGCACAAAGUCAUAAGAAUUUAUUUUCCAUUACAUUAGUUUAUAUAAAAUGAAUAAAUAGUAUUUAUAGAUUUAAUGUGUCUUAUGUACAUAUACAUGUGCUCUGUUUUAGCUUAAAUAAAAAUGCUACAAAGUCGGAGACCACUUAAGGGAGAAAUCAUAACCAAAA
rnacentral:lncRNA from 1 species